UCCACGCUAGGUAUCCAUAGGAGAUGUGGCGAAUCCACAAGAAUAUGGAAGCACCCAUAGGAGAUGUGGCCAAUCCACAUGAAUAUGGGGUAGAAGCCUAGUGGGGGGCUACCCACUGAGGAAAAGAGGAAAAGAUGAAAAGAUGAAAAGGAUGUGCAUUGUAGGGUUUUAGCUCAUGGUCGGGUAACAGGAAGUUAAAGAAGUCAUAGGAUCGAGUCGGACUGGUAAGAUGAGUCGGUUAAGUCUAGGGUUGGCGUGUGUGGCAAUGAGUGAGUUCAUUGUAUUGAUUGAUUACUAGGUUGUUAGAAAUGAAUGGAAGUGUGUGUAGAAAUUACAGAUGGUGAUAGGAAAUGAUAAAAUGCAUUAACUGAUUGUAGUGGCUAGUCGGUCCUAGUUCCCGCAUAGAGUAGUAUAGAGUGUCAUGCGGGCAGGCUGGUCUAGAGUCACUUCACUGAGUAACUUGUUGCUCACCCCCUCCAUUUCCAUUUUUCCCUGUGCGCAGGACUGUAAGUAGAAGUACAUGGAUGUGGGUGUGACGGUAUUUCAAAGAAGGUUAUGCGCUCGUCUCUCGGGACCAGUAACGGGACACGUAGGGUUGUCUAAAUGAGUAGACACGUGUCCAUAACGCCCCUUCGAUAACCCCGGUCGGACGCCGGGGGAUCGGGCUGUUACAAUUGGUAUCAGAGCGGGUUAAGAUCACUUAGUUCUGUCCUAAGGGAUCGGCAUUUCCGACGUUUUAAAAAAAAAAAAAAAAAAAAAAUAUUUCUAUAUAUUUCGUUUUUCGGGAAAAAAAAAAUGAAAUUUUCUUUGCAAUAUUACUAAGUAUUUUCGGAUUGUGAAAGAUUAAUUGAAAAUCCCACUAUAUCCAUACUUCUAUUAUGGUUCUGAUUGAAAUUUUAUUGCAGGGUGUUUUCGCUUGACCAUUACGAGUGGAGAAUGCCGCGUAUGCACUACGGACGGAGGAACACCAGGGAGUAUGCCCAAAGGCGUCACUAUGACAGGGAGGGUAACUUGGUGCUACCCAUGUUUCCGGAUCCUGAAGAACAGUACAGGGAGUUUCCAUUCAGGUACCCGCACGAGCAGACUGUGAGGCAUAAGGUGUUGAUGCCACAUUUCCAGAGGAUGGCUAUGGAGGAACGCCUACUGCAGGGCAAUGCGAGGUUCCAGCUUGCAACCGAAGAGGGGCCCCCGAGGAAGCGUGGCCGUCCAUGCAAGACGCCAAGUGCAGCAGGGGGACCCCCAAGGGUGUUCACUGGGAAGUGCCAGUGUGGACUGCUGAGCAAGAAUGCUCAAGAGGACCGAUCAGUCGCUGGAUACACGGAAGACUUCAUCAACCAAGCCAAGCUGUGCAAACCGAAGAAUGCAGAGACGUGGUGCAUAUGGUAUAAGAACGGGCUACGCAAGGAACUCCAGGCGCAGUUGAGGGGUGUUUUGGAGCCCUUGGAGUUCGCGCUAGUGAGGCGGAUGGCAGGCUUCGCCAUGGAGGCAGAAGAGAAGAUUGCAGCCGAUGUGGUCGCUCUCUCGAUCAUGGAAGGAGGAAACCCGGGUAGGGACGUCGAUGGCCAUGAGGUGCCGGUAGGGGCACCCGCUAAGGGAAAGCGGGGGCGUCCGCGAAAACCACCUACAGUGACAUGUGAUUGUGACGUACUGGUCCAGAUGGUUCAGAAGCCACGCAAGGUGAGAGAUUACCUGGAGGAGUUCUUGGAUACGGCCAAGAUGUGUCAACCGAAGCCAGCUGAGGAGUGGUGUCAUCUGUUUAGGGCUGGGCUACGUGGGGAUAUUCGUGAGGAACUCGUGGGAGUCCUGGAGCCUCUGGAAUUUGCACUGGUGAGAAGGAUGGCUAACCAAGCACUGCACGCGGAGGAGUGGUUGGCGGAAAAGGAGGCGGAGGCCGAGGAUGACCGCGUCGCAGAGGGCGAUGAAGACCUGGGAUCCGAGUCCCGCUGCCCCUCGCCAUGUCAAUGUGGCUAGACGAGAUCCUAGGGACGAUUCGUAGGAGUAGGACACGUGUUUCGCUAUUGGUUUUAUUUCAUUUAUUGGUUAUUGGAGUUGGUGUUCUUUCCCUGAUUUACGGCAUUCUGUAUUUGUGCAGAUGUGCUGAGUUUUCUUUUACAAACUAUUGUAGUCCUACUCCUUUUAUUAUUUAUGACAUUCCUUCGUUGGUUUUAAAGAUUCCAGUAGAGUUAUCAUGCCAUGUAUGCCUCCCUUGAUUGUUGUGUGAAUGUGUGAAUCCAUUUCGGUAACGAACGAUUGGUCUGAAAGAUGUGGGCUUUGGAAUUCGGGGACGAAUUCCGAUUAACGGGGGAGGAUUGUAACGGCCCGGUUCCUGGCCCAUAAAAAUUUCCCAAAGAAUAUGGGCUUCUCUACGGCCCAUUUGGCAAAACCCUAGGGCUUCCCCUCCCCUUUACUAUAAAAAGAGAUGCAGUCUCCCUUUCUGCCUCAUCACAAAUCUGAAGCGAAGCUCUGCAGAGAAUUCCCGGAGGUCGAAAACCCUAGCCGUCAAGCUCUCUCUCCUUCUCUCCUGCGCCACCUCUCUCUCUCCUCUCUCUCCCGCGCGUCGCUCUCUCUCUCUCUCCUCGCCGUCACCCUCUCUCUCUCCUUGCCGUCGCACGCUCUCUCUCUCUCUCCCUCUCGCCGGCGCCGUGAAGUGGUGGUGCUGACCAGAUCUCAACCUUCUCAAUCCUCGUUUCCAGAUCCAGAUCCAGAUCUAAGACUAAGGUGGAGUGUUUCGAACCCAACCUUCUUUCAUGGUUCUGUAUACUCCUAUAUGUUGGAGUUAGGUUUGAUUAGACCCUGUUUGGGAGUUAGGUUGAUAGUACAUGGUAUUGCUAGGAUGAUAGAUGAAUGGAUCAUGAUGCAUAAGAACCCUCAUAUUGAUAAAUGGGACUUGAUGAACUGAAUUGAAUUGUUGUGGUAAUGGUUGAUUGGUAGUUGUUACUUGUAUGUUUGGUUGUGUUGUCCCAUGUGUGGUUGUGAUUGAAGUUAGGAUGCUAGAGAGAAAUAAAUGCUAGGAUGAUAGAUGAGCAAUGAUUAUAAAAGUUAUUGAAGUAGAACUUGAAUGCGAUGUGUAUUGUGUGUGACACCGAUAACGGGUGGCGUCUAGUGAUUGAGUCCAAGUACAAGUAGGAAUGAAAAGGGAAGUAAUUGGGAAUGGGAAGGGUUAAGUGAAAACGAUAAGGAAGUGAAAGGAUAAGUAAAAGUAUGAAAGAAUGUUGUUAAGGUUAAGCAUGGGUGGGAAAACAUAUAGAGAGUCUAAGGAAAGUAGGUGGGGUAGUAGUCCACGCUAGGUAUCCAUUGGAGAUGUGGCGAAUCCACAAGAAUAUGGAAGCACCCAUAGGAGAUGUGGCCAAUCCACAUGAAUAUGGGUAGAAGCCUAGUGGGGGGCUACCCACUGAGGAAAAGAGGAAAAGAUGAAAAGAUGAAAAGAUGAAAAGGAUGUGCAUUGUAGGGUUUUAGCUCAUGGUCGGGUAACAGGAAGUUAAAGAAGUCAUAGGAUCGAGUCGGACUGGUAAGAUGAGUCGGUUAAGUCUAGGGUUUGCGUGUGUGGCAAUGAGUGAGAUCAUUGUAUUGAUUGAUUACUAGGUUGUUAGAAAUGAAUGGAAGUGUGUGUAGAAAUUACAGAUGGUGAUAGGAAAUGAUAAAAUGCAUUAACUGAUUGUAGUGGCUAGUCGGUCCUAGUUCCCGCAUAGAGUAGUAUAGAGUGUCAUGCGGGCAGGCUGGUCUAGAGUCACUUCACUGAGUAACUUGUUGCUCACCCCCUCCAUUUCCAUUUUUCCCUGUGCGCAGGACUGUAAGUAGAAGUACAUGGAUGUGGGUGUGACGGUAUUUCAAAGAAGGUUAUGCGCUCGU
rnacentral:lncRNA from 1 species